rnacentral:lncRNA from 1 species
GGGCUUUCUCUAAAGCCUUACUCCCCAGGAAGGCAAAGUGCUGGAGAAUUAGCAUUAAUCCUUCAUCGGCAUGUCUCCCAGUGGUGUCUGACACUCCUGUGUGAUAUCCUUCCUCUACGUGGGGGCUUACUGAAUCACUUUAAUGAAUAAAAUAUGCAUGGAAUAAUGGGAUUUUGCUUGCAAGUUCCCAUUGUAAGAAGACUGUGGCUAUCAUCUUGGGCAUGUUCUCUUUUGCUUACUCAGCCAGUCCCUCUGAGAGAUGUGGCCAUCAGCUGGUCCAUGGAGGGACACGGAUGUGAGGGGCCAAGAGCCAGUGAGGUACUGAAUCCAGUGACAACCACUCAAGUGAGCUCAAGAAUAUACCUUCUCCCAGCGGAGCCUUUCUGUGACACUGCAGCCAGGAUGACAGUUUGGCUGCCACCUUGUAAAAGCCAUGAACUAUACUCUGCCCAGACUUCAGAUCUUCAGGAAUUGUUCUCCAGGAUGUUUAAGAAUGUUGUAUCCCGUUCCCCAGAGCAGCUGUAAUUUUCUCCAUGCAAGGAUUCUUCUGACCACAGAAGGAUGCUGAGCCCUGCAAGGGGCAUUUAAAAGUGCCAGGCCAUUCACUUUCUAGAAAUGACUGCUAACAAUAGAAUUGGGAGUUGGCCUGUAAACCCCCUGCAUCCCCACACUCCGUGGGAUAAUUCUCAUUAUGAACAUAGAGCUUCAAAGGGUCCCCAGUUUCCCCCAGGGGAGACUGUUCAUUCUGGCACCUUUGGUCUCUUUCCUAUCUCAUCUAAGGUACUUCCUAGGAUCACACCUCACAGGAACUCCUGCUGUCACAUCUUUGUUCCAAGAUCUGGUUUGCAGAAGCCCAACUGAGAUGGGGCUUAGAACCAAGCCUAUGGGAAGCAUUCAGCAAAUAGUAUUUAUGACUGUGUUUUUGUAGUGUCAGCUCUUCUUCCCUGUUCUUUAUGCUGGUGACAGGCAGGCAUCAUGUAGUAGCUUUCCAAGCUCUGGCUUCAAAACUUGCCUCCUGAUAAUUCCUGAAAUCUCAGGAGCCCAGACAGCAAUGGUAAGAGAAUGUCCUUCCUGCUGGAUAUGGCUUAGGCCUGAGAACAAUAGAACUGCAUGCCCCUGAGAAGGUGACAGACCCCCAGUUCCCUGCUCUGUGCUGCCUCUGAAAGAAUAGCAGGGUUACUGAAGUGACCAAAUGGCGGCUGCCUAUGAAAUGCUUGGCAUGGCCUCUGGGUCUGAAAGAAGAGGCAUUAAACAGUGAUUCCGUUUUAGACCAACCUACUUCCCACAUGCCCGAAGACCCAGAGCUUGUCCGAAUGUUCUGACAGGUAAUCCACCUGCCCUGGGCUGUUGAGACAGGUCGAGUGAAGAGGGUCUCUUGGUUGGACCUUUGCUUUCACAGCGAGCUUCCUUGAGAAGUUUCUGGCAGUAGUAGAAACCACUGAUAAAUUAUUUAUCAGACUAACAAUGUGCUCAUAGCACUGGGCAAAGAUGAAAACAACAUACAUCUGGUUCUCAGGAAGCUCAU